rnacentral:rRNA from 1 species
GAUGAACGCUGGCGGCGUGCCUAAUACAUGCCAGUCGAACGGGGAGUCGCAAUACUCUUAGUGGCGAACGGGUGAGUAACGCGUUGGUACCUGCCCCGAAGCGGGGGAUAACGGACCGAAAGGUCCGCUAAUACCCCAUGUGCUCGGUAACGAGUAAAGGUGAAAACCACUUUGGGAGGGGCCUGCGUCCCAUCAGCUAGUUGGUAAGGUAACGGCUUACCAAGGCGAUGACGGGUAGGGGACCUGAGAGGGUGGCCCCCCACAAUGGAACUGAAACACGGUCCAUACACCUACGGGUGGCAGCAGUAGGGAAUAUUGGUAAUGGGCGCAAGCCUGAACCAGCAACGCCGCGUGGGCGAUGACGGCCUUCGGGUUGUAAAGCACUUUUGACGGGGACGAGGAAGGACGGUACCGGUCGAAUCAGCCUCGGCUAACUACGUG